GGCUGGAUAGCCUAGUGGUAAAGGCAUCACUCCUAGUAAGCUGAGGUCCCAGGUUUGCUUCCUGGUCUGGUCA
rnacentral:tRNA from 1 species